rnacentral:tRNA from 1 species
AGGAUUAUAGUUUAUCUAAAAACAUUUAGCUUGCAACUAAAAAAUACUCUAGUUAACCCUU